rnacentral:rRNA from 1 species
GAUGAACGCUGGCGGCGUGCUUAACACAUGCAAGUCGAACGAGAAGUGAAGACGGAAACCUUCGGGCGGAAGGCUUUAUUUCGAGUGGCGGACGGGUGAGUAACGCGUGGGUAACCUGCCUCAUACAGGGGGAUAACAGUUGGAAACGACUGUUAAUACCGCAUAAGACCACAGCACCGCAUGGUGCGGGGGUAAAAACUCCGGUGGUAUGAGAUGGACCCGCGUUCGAUUAGCCAGUUGGCGGGGUAACGGCCCACCAAAGCGACGAUCGAUAGCCGAUCUGAGAGGAUGACCGGCUACAUUGGGACUGAGACACGGCCCAAACUCCUACGGGAGGCAGCAGUGGGGAAUAUUGCACAAUGGGGGAAACCCUGAUGCAGCGACGCCGCGUGAGUGAAGAAGUAUUUCGGUAUGUAAAGCUCUAUCAGCAGGGAAGAAAAUGACGGUACCGGAGUAAGAAGCCCCGGCGAACUACGU